AUUCUUAAUGAGUAAUUCUUAGGAUUUAGUACAAAAUUAGAUAUAUUCUUUUUAUUCGUAAUGAUAUAGCAUGAAGUUCUUGCGGGGUAGGAGAGAGAGGUAUUCAUCUGAAAACUGGCUCUGUUUUAGUGUAGACAUUUGUCUACGGGGAAACAGUAGGAAAGCAUCAAGAAAUAUUUCUUGAUGUGUACAAUUGAAGUGAUGUUUACAAUGUAGUGAAAAAAAAACCUAUGCACGCAUGUUCCUGAUUUUAAUAAAGCUCUGCAAAGAUUUCCUUCCUCAUUCUUUGCUUUUGAUUCAGCAUAUGUGCUGUUGCUAAGUUAAGUGUUGGUAACCCUGUGUCCUUUGUUGGGCCAAACAAGGUUAAAAUUAAGACGAAAAAAAUUUCUGAGUUCAUUUCAAAUGGAAGGACAACAUGAUACCUAACACAGAAGAGAACAAAUUUAGUUUUGACUUUCUGCCCUAUGUCCACCUAAAGCUGUAUUUCACUCACUCACUAAUAUUUAGAAAUCACCCACUUGGUGGUUGGCUCUGUGCUUAGUGCUAAGAACUGGUCGUGUUAUAGGUGCUGUGGGUGCGUGUCUGCGCUGGCUUCAGGAGGAGGGAGCAGGCCCUGUGGGGCCCAGCAAGGCCUCCCAGGAGAAGCAGUGUGUUAGCUGAAGUUUAAUGAACUAAUUGGUGGUCCUGGGAUGCAGUUGGGAAGAUGGGAUGAUUCAGCCUGUUGGGUUGAGGCUGUGAAGCUGGGCAGGGUUUCAGCUGAGCUGAGGUUGGAAGUCCCUGACCUUCAGCUGUGGCCGCCUACGGAGCAGCAGGGAGAGCAAACCCAUGGAGAACCCCGCGGCCCCCAAAGCAUGGACGGAGCUGCCAGCCUUCUCCCCUGCCCUUCUUCCUCUACUCCCGACCUGCCAGCCUUCUCCCCUGCCCUUCUGCCUCUACUCCCGACCUGCCAACCUUAGCCUAAAAUCAGAGCUGCUAGAAUCACACACACUGUCGUAGCUGGUUUUGUAUUGUAAAUGAGUCAUUCUGUUAUUUUGGAAACUUAUGUCUCAUGCCAGGAUCUGCAGAUAGUUCUUUUUCAAAAUAUUGUUUAGACAAAAUAAAUUUCUUUAAAUAUAAUAUCUCUACUUUAAAUGCCUGGGGUGUUGCAUGCAUUUUUCUAGGCUAGCAAAGCUUAAAGAUUAUUUCUAUAAUUUCAGUUACAUUUACCUUUAUAGAUGGGUUACUCUAAGUAACAAAUUAAACACACAUGGAUCUUCUAACUUUGGCUUUAAAUCCUAAGAAGAGAUAGGUAAUAUAUAAAAGAGUAUUAAAAAGAAAUGGAGAGUAAAGGUAUAUGUCGGGCAGAUGCAGUAGAAAAGCAAGGGUCAUGACGUCAAUGCUGGGCAAAGCUAAAUUGUGAAGACAAAACAAUAAUGAAACAGGGUUAUUCAUCACGCUAAAGCGUACAGUCCAUAGGAUGAUAUAACUACCAUGAAUUUGGCCUAAAUGAUUGAACAUUGAAACACAUAAAGCGAGAACUGUAGGGGAUUAAAGACAAAAUCAGUGAGUGCAGUGCUGGUGGGAGAGGCGCCUGGACUUCUUGGCCCCUCACAGGUCAUGUGGUAGACAUAAGUUGUUAUUACUGUGAGCCAGUAGAGACUUUCAGGUUUGAUGGCUGGAAAACAAAUGCUCAUUUUAUAAGUUUUUUUUUGUUUUGUGUUUUGUUUUGUUUUGUUUUUGAGACGGAGUUUCACUCUUGUUGCCCAGGCUGGAGUGCAGUGGUGCGAUCUCGGCUCACCGCAACCUCCGCCCCUUGGGUUCAAGCGAUUCUCCUGCCUCAGCCUCCCAAGUAGCUGGGAUUACAGUCAUGCACCACCACGCCCAGCUCAUUUUGUAUUUUUUUUUAGUAGAGAUGGGGUUUCUCCAUGUCAGUCAGGCUAGUCCUCAACUCCCGAUCUCAGGUGAUCCGCCCACCUCAGCCUCCCAAAGUGCUGGGAUUACAGGCGUGAGCCACCGUGCCCGACCCUCAUGGUAUAAGUUUUUAAACUUAAUAUAUACUAGCUUACAGAGGAAACCGAUGUGAUUUCCAAAAAUUUGAAAUAAUUAGAAACCUUAUUCUCACAUUAUAAUGCAAUAAAAAUAGAAAUAAACACACAGGCGGAAACCAGGCAUCCCUGGGAGUCCCUUGGGGCAGAGAAGAGCUUCGUCGCUCAAGCAAAACUUCCAUGGAGGCGAGGACUGUGGGCUUUGUUGGAAGCUUUAUCUCCAACCUCUAGAACACGAGCACUAAGUAGAUUCUGAACAAAUCUUAUUAAAUGAAUAAGAGCUAAUAAUCCUAAUAAAUAUGUUGAAAGCACUAUUCUAAGCAUGUACAUUUAUUAUGUCACUCACUCCUCACAGUCCCUGUUCGAAGGAGGUGCUGUCCUCAUCCGCAUUUCACAGAUGGGGGAAUGGGAAGGGUAGGCUCAGUCACUUGCCCCAGAAUUGACAGCUGGCAAGUGGGAGACUGAGAUUCAGGCUGGGCUGUCGGACUUGGCCGUGUUCUCAUGUGCAGAACCACCAUUGCCUCCAAAUUAAUGAAAAAAUGAGAUAAGGUAAUGGCUUAGAGUUAAUGUGUAAAGAUUGUUAUUAAAUAAGAAUCAAAAGAAGUGAUUUAAACACUAAAGAGGUAGCAAAGAACCAAAGUAAGUUGAAGAAUUACUGUGUUCUUUAAAGACAAAAGCAGAAAUGAAUCAACUAAGAAAAAGAGAGAAUGAAACCAAAGAACAGGUUUUGGAAGGGGGCAGACAGCGAUGAAGCGGGGAGAGUAAAGACAAGUAGACCUGGAGCCGGUGUGGUGGAAAAAGGAGAGAAAUCAUAGCGUGUAAGAAGUAGUAAUCGUCGAAGGAAGGUGAAUGCAAGCGUCUUGUGAAUCUGAAAAUGGCAUUUUGUAAAAUUCACUUUCCAUUCCUGAUUUGUAGUUUGUUUGCUUAUUUGUUAACUUUCUUAAAUAAUUUCAAAAGCAUGGAAAAGUUGCAAGAAUGAUAUAAAGAAUUUAAUCAAAAUUUCA
rnacentral:lncRNA from 1 species